UGGUAAUCCUGAUAUGAGGGUGCUUAAUCUAGCAGGUGCCUUGGAGAUUCACAGGUGAGGAAAAAAGGCACAGGGAUAAAAAGCCACACCAGUUGGCACUGUUUAUGGCUAACACCAUCAUUUUGCUCAAGACCAACGUGGGAUUCUGGAAGGAACAAGAGAAGAGGGGACAGAUGGUUCCUAUUUGCAAGUGGCUGCUGGUCCUUUCCAGGCUGGGGCCCAGGUGGUAAGUGGCUGAAGCAGGAAGAGGAGGCAGGUGGAGGAGGCGGGCCCUUCACUACUGGAGGUCUCCAAAGGAGCAGACUGCAUAUUUGGAUUCUAGGGAUCACGUCUGCUGGGGAGGGUGCAAUAUAUUCGACAUAUUGAGUUUCUGGAAUACUUCAAGAUCCAAACUAAACAGAAAACAGAGCCAUAAAAAAGUUACAGUCUGUCUUUCGCUUAAGAAAAAGAAAAAAGAAAUCUCUCAGAAGACGGCGGUCACGAGGGUCAUAAUGUUUAUGCCAAGAGUCCUCAAUCAGUUAUACUUCUUGAAAUUUUGGUAACAUCCUACAAGGACUGAAGAAGAGGACAAGUUUGAAGGUUAAUCCUCUAUUAUCCCCAGAAUUCCAUUAACUAGUGUUCCACAGUUCCAAGGGACCCAGUGCUUGCAACUGUGAAUUUCUAGUUAACUCUGACCUCCAGUUUCCUUUGUGGCCUCUAGUUAAUUCUUCAGUCCCCAUGGCCUACAAUGUGAGUACUGAAUUCUCCAAAGACUUCACAUGUUCAAGAAGGCAUAAAAUGCCAUCCAAGUGGAGAGUCCCAUUCGGGUUUCUCAACCUAUUCUAAACCAAAUAACCAAUCAUUAAGUAUUUGGAUUAUACCAAAUAUUUAAUCAUGUUUGUUGCUACACAGAUACAUGUGCGCACACACACACAUAUAUAUACACAGAUAUAUGUCUAUAUGUGUGCUAUAUAUAUAUAACACGCACAUAUACACACACCCUUAUUUUAUCUUCACAACAAACUAGAAUUAUUGUUGCCCACUUUGCAGAAGAAAAGGUUAUAUAACUUGCCAAGGGUCACACAGCAUGGAUCUCGUGUUACAAAAUAUUUCAGCAGACCCAACACCCUGCAUUCACUCUCCCAUUUCCAGAGAACCUUAAUGUGAGACCAUGGGACCUAAGAGGUGUGAAUCAUCCCAUGUGGUUCUCUUCACUCCAAGAGAACCAGAAGGACCACUUGGCAAACUGACCACCUGACAAAUAGGUAGUGUCU